UCCCCGAUGGUCUAGUGGUCAUGAUUUCCGCUUGUCAUCAAACAAGUCGCGGGGUAUGUUCAACAAUAUUCAAGUCUUGCUUAACAGAAUACUAACUAAUAACAGAGACCGGGGUUCGAUUCCCCGUCGAGGAG